rnacentral:rRNA from 1 species
UAGGGAAUCUUGGACAAUGGGCGAAAGCCUGAUCCAGCCAUGCCGCGUGAGUGAUGAAGGCCUUAGGGUUGUAAAGCUCUUUCGCCAGGGAAGAUAAUGACGGUACCUGGAUAAGAAGCCCCGGCAAACUUCGUGUCAGCAGCCGCGGUAAUACGAAGGGGGCUAGCGUUGUUCGGAAUUACUGGGCGUAAAGCGCACGUAGGCGGUUUUCCAAGUUGGAGGUGAAAUCCCUAGGCUCAACCCGGGAACUGCCUCCAAAACUGGAUGACUCGAGUCCGAGAGAGGUGAGUGGAAUUUCCAGUGUAGAGGUGAAAUUCGUAGAUAUUGGAAAGAACACCAGUGGCGAAGGCGGCUCACUGGCUCGGUACUGACGCUGAGGUGCGACAGCGUGGGGAGCAAACA